rnacentral:snoRNA from 1 species
AUUCGGGCUGAUAACUAGGCGGCCGGUCUCAAUCAACCUACGACGUCUGCCUUUUAAGUGUCCGAUAUAUUAAUUUGCGAAGAUCUUACACGUUUCCAAAGCGCUGUUAUGGCUUUUUCUGUAUUUGACGACUUUUAAAUCUUCACAACAUAC